CCUACGGGAGGCAGCAGUGGGGAUUAUUGGACAAUGGGGGGAACCCUGAUCCAGCCAUGCCGCGUGUGUGAAGAAGGCCCUCGGGUUGUAAAGCACUUUCAGUGAGGAAGAACGCCUGGUGGUUAAUACCCAUCAGGAAAGACAUCACUCACAGAAGAAGCACCGGCUAACUCCGUGCCAGCAGCCGCGGUAAUACGGAGGGUGCGAGCGUUAAUCGGAAUUACUGGGCGUAAAGCGCGCGUAGGUGGCUUGAUAAGCCGGUUGUGAAAGCCCCGGGCUCAACCUGGGAACGGCAUCCGGAACUGUCAAGCUAGAGUGCAGGAGAGGAAGGUAGAAUUCCCGGUGUAGCGGUGAAAUGCGUAGAGAUCGGGAGGAAUACCAGUGGCGAAGGCGGCCUUCUGGACUGACACUGACACUGAGGUGCGAAAGCGUGGGUAGCAAACAGGAUUAGAUACCCCUGUAGUC
rnacentral:rRNA from 1 species